rnacentral:pre_miRNA from 1 species
AAUGGGAUAACUGGGUCAAAUGGUAGUUCCAUUCCAAGUUUUUUGAGGAAUUUCCAUAAUGCUUUCCAGAGUGGUCACCAAUUUGCAGUUCCACCAGCAAU